rnacentral:lncRNA from 13 species
AAGAGGGUCUGGUCUUUCUUCCUGAUGCAAGUGGGAAUGAUGAGGAGAUGGAAAGUUAUUACAGACAUCUUGCCACUUCUCAGAAGCUGAGGAAACCCUGUAUUAAUCUGCACACAUCUCAAAUUCUUCAUUAUGACCCUCAAAGAAAGAGCCUUCCUGAUGACAGACACAAAGUGGAGAAAAGUAUAGCCAAAAUAUGGAGAGACUCGUCUUUUUGA